rnacentral:rRNA from 1 species
AGAGUUUGAUCAUGGCUCAGGACGAACGCUGGCGGCGCGCCUAACACAUGCAAGUCGAGCGAGAACCAGGACUUCGGUCCUGGGGAGAGCGGCGAACGGGUGCGUAACACGUGAGCAACCUGCCCCGAAGACUGGGACAACCGAGGGAAACUUCGGCUAAUACCAGAUGCCCUCACCGGGCCGCAUGGUCUGGUGAGGAAAUGGAUUCCGCUUCGGGAUGGGCUCGCGGUCUAUCAGCUUGUUGGUGGGGUAACGGCCCACCAAGGCAACGACGGAUAGCUGGUCUGAGAGGACGAUCAGCCACACUGGGACUGAGACACGGCCCAGACUCCUACGGGAGGCAGCAGUGGGGAAUCUUGCGCAAUGGGGGAAACCCUGACGCAGCGACGCCGCGUGCGGGAUGAAGGCCUUCGGGUUGUAAACCGCUUUCAGCAGGGACGAAAUUGACGGUACCUGCAGAAGAAGGACCGGCCAACUACGUGCCAGCAGCCGCGGUAAUACGUAGGGUCCUAGCGUUGUCCGGAUUUAUUGGGCGUAAAGAGCUCGUAGGCGGUUCGGCAAGUCGGAUGUGAAAUCUCCACGCUUAACGUGGAGGGGCCAUUCGAAACUGCCGUGACUCGAGUCCGGUAGGGGAGUGUGGAAUUCCCGGUGUAGCGGUGAAAUGCGCAGAUAUCGGGAGGAACACCAGUAGCGAAGGCGGCACUCUGGGCCGGUACUGACGCUGAGGAGCGAAAGCGUGGGGAGCGAACAGGAUUAGAUACCCUAGUAGUCC